AACCAGUUGAAGACUGUGGGCAAAGCAGGAUAGCCGUUGACGGGAACCAAGAAGAAAGUCCGUAUCUAACUGUUCCCCAACCAUGUCCUCCUCAUCCUCACUGUCAUCUGAGUGGUCUGCCAUAAUGACUUUAAAAGCCUUCUUCAUGUUAGCUGCAUUAUCAGUGAUGAUAAAAUCUACCUUAUCACUGAUAUUGUAGUCAUCUAGUAUUUCAUCAAAUGCAGCUGAAAUGUUUUCAGAGCUGUGACGCCCUUUGAAUCUCCUGCAGUCCAGCAGGUAGGCAUUCAGAGUGUACCCACUGGUCGAAGAGUUGAGAACAUGAGCUGUGACUCCCAGGUAGACAGCAGCCAAUGAUAAGGUCAUGGAUGAUCGCUUGGUUGAUAGCCUGCUGCCUUGAUGAAGAAGCAUUGUAAACUUGAACUUGCAAUGGUCGCUGCUGAAAUGCAUCAUCAAUCAUUGGCUGUGAAUCCCCCUGUUGAAGUCCUUGCCAAUACUCCUGCAGACUGGAGAUGGAAAUACAAAAGCAUCUAUAAGUGUUGGAACUGAAUAACAGGCAGAUAAUAAGCUUUAUUUAAAGAGAAGUGAAAUCUGUAUUCCCAAUCAUUCAUUAAUGUCCACUCCAUAUACUGAGAAAAACUAAAUAAAGUUGUGUCUGGAUUGUCAAA